CCUUACACAUGCAAGUCGAACGGCAGCACGGGUACUUGGUACCUGGUGGCGAGUGGCGAACCGGGUGAGUAAUACAUCGGAACGUACCUUAUCGUGGGGGAUAACGCAGCGAAAGCUGUGCUAAUACCGCAUACGCCCUGAGGGGAAAGCGGGGGAUCGAAAGACCUCGCGCGAUUAGAGCGGCCGAUGCCUGAUUAGCUUGUUGGUGGGGUAAAAGCCCACCAAGGCGACGAUCAGUAGCUGGUCUGAGAGGACGAUCAGCCACACUGGGACUGAGACACGGCCCCAGACUCCUACGGGAGGCAGCAGUGGGGAAUUUUGGACAAUGGGGGCAACCCUGAUCCAGCAAUGCCGCGUGAGUGAAGAAGGCCUUCGGGUUGUAAAGCUCUUUUGUCAGGGAAGAAACACCGGCUCUAACACAGUCCGGGAAUGACGGUACCUGAAGAAUAAGCACCGGCUAACUACGUG
rnacentral:rRNA from 1 species